CAAGCAAGAAACAAAACGGGAACGAGAAGAAGAAGAAGCAGCAAGACAAUUGUGUCAUUCUUUUUUAUCCAUUCCCUCAUUGCUACUACUGCUAC
rnacentral:ribozyme from 1 species